GACGAACGCUGGCGGCGUGCUUAACACAUGCAAGUCGAACGGAAAGGCUCCAGCUUGCUGGAGUACUCGAGUGGCGAACGGGUGAGUAACACGUGGGUAAUCUGCCCUGCACUCUGGGAUAAGCCUGGGAAACUGGGUCUAAUACUGGAUAUGACCUUUCUCCUUAUGGGGUUUGGUGGAAAGUUUUUCGGUGUAGGAUGAGCCCGCGGCCUAUCAGCUUGUUGGUGGGGUGAUGGCCUACCAAGGCGACGACGGGUAGCCGGCCUGAGAGGGUGAUCGGCCACAUUGGGACUGAGAUACGGCCCAGACUCCUACGGGAGGCAGCAGUGGGGAAUAUUGCACAAUGGGCGGAAGCCUGAUGCAGCGACGCCGCGUGAGGGAUGACGGCCUUCGGGUUGUAAGCCUCUUUCAGCAGGGACGAAGCGUAAGUGACGGUACCUGCAGAAGAAGCACCGGCUAACUAUGUG
rnacentral:rRNA from 1 species